CUUCGGAGCCCAGGCUCAGACUCGGACCCCCUCACGUUUCUGUCUCCCAGCACCUCAGGAGCGUGUCCAUGUGCCCAGCUAGCUCCACACGGGCGUGCACGGGUGGCCAGAGUGACUGUGAGCCAAGUGUGUGAGUGUGGAUGCACAG